rnacentral:lncRNA from 1 species
UUGAUAAUUGAAGUAGGCAGAAGAAUCCUGAGCCCGAGAACCUAUUUGAUGAUCAUUAUCUUUUGCGCCGCCAUCUGAAGGAUAGGUCUCAUCCUCAUUAUAAUUAGAAACAGAAGCACCAGCACUGCACAAGCACAAAUCAUGGAGAAAUUGUAACUUGGAAAAGAGAUGUCUUAGUCCCAAAAGGGAAAAAACAUGUAACACCUCCAAGUAAUUUAAAAAAUAAAACUAUGCCAC